rnacentral:lncRNA from 1 species
AUGCCCGCCUCGCCCCCACAGCCGCCGAUCAGGGCCGGGUCCAAGCUGCGGGUCUGGCGCAGCUUCCUCUUGGAGAAGCCCUUGGCCGAGGCCGCGCCACCCGAGGCCGGCGAGGAGCAGGAGAAGACACUGUGGAGUAGGCUCUGGGCGGACAUCUCGGCGGGACUGUGCCUAAGGGCCACCCUCUUCCCGCUCUCGGGGACGCUGGCGAGUUGGAACCGGGAAAGGAAGGGGGCUCAGGCUAGGCUGCCAGGCGGGGCUGGCCCGAGGCUGGCCGAGGGCGGUGGAGGGCAGUGCCCGGCUCACGCGCCACCAGCGCGCUCCAAGUGCCCCAGCGGGUGCAGAAGCAUAAGAUCCAUCACCAGCCUUCUAGGAAAAGAGGUCGGGUGGCCUCCUGUGGCCGCCAGAACCUUGUCCCAGAGCCACAGCCGCGAAAGAGGUGAGGAAGAGAAGGAGGAAGGUCAGGCGCUCCCUGGGUUCCCAGCUCCAGCCCGCCAGCGCCACUCCCCCUUCCCAGCCAAGGCAGGAGACGCCGAGCUCCCGCUCGCUGGCUCUGGACAGCCUCGAAGUCUUCAGCAAGCUCCUCCUCGCGCCCUGAGGACAGUCCCGAGGGCUGGGGAGGAGGCCUCCCGGGCGUGCGCUCAGGGCGCGUCCUUCGCACUCCCCGGGCUGCGAGAGCGACUUCCUCCGGCUCUGAAGUUGGGCGCCCGAGCUGCGCCUGGGCUGUACCGUCGUGGCGUCCCGGCCCCUGAAGCAGCGCGUCUGGCCUCCCCUUGGCUGUUGCGCCCACUCCUCCGACUGGCUAGGACAGAGAUUCAGUUCAAAAGCAGUGGCCGCAAAUGAAGGGACUGGAGAUGGGGACCUACUAUGGAGGUGGGGGUAGUCCUGGCCCAGUAAGGGUCAUGUGUGAAUGUAUUCGAAGAGGAGUGGUGAGUGAGGCUGGGCAGGAGGCAGGCGCCCAAAGCGGCGUCAGCCCAGAGGCUGCGGAGAUUGGCGCUCACAAGUGAUAGGUCUCCAGGUUCCGCUCUGGGAUGCCUCUGGGCGAAGCGCGCAGCGGCCACAUUCCUGAGAAGCUGGAGAACACUGGCGAUGUCAAUGUUCCCCACUUGGAAACGAGUCUGGAAGCAGCUUUUCCCGCUACUGUCCGACCGGAAUCUAAAAAGCUCAAAGCCUCGCCCGCCUCUUGGCAGGCUUUGUGAUGUAACAUUUAAGUUUUGCAACGCAACUUACAACCUUCUCCAUAGGGGAGCAGAAAGAAUGUUGGAAAUGCCUGUGUACUUAUUUAACUAUGUUCGUGUGUCCUCUUUUACCACUUCAGGGUAAAGAGAAUUAUCUAUGAAUGUAAAGGUGACUUUCCUCUACCAUAUCUUUUAUUAAAGAAAGAAAAACUUAACAGUGAACUUACAACUGCAAGUGUUUGGCACAAACGUUCACCUUACUGUGGGUAUAUAAGAAUUAUCCAACUUUGAUUUUGGAAGACUUCUUUUAUUCCCUAUAAAAUUUCCAGGGGAGGGGGGUGGGGAAUGGGAUAGGCUGGUGAUGGGUAGUAAGGAGGGCACGUAUUGCAUGGUGCACUGGGUGUUAUACGCAAGUAAUGAAUCAUGGAACUUUACAUCAAAAACUAGGGAUGUACUGUAUGGUGACUAACAUAAUAAAAAAAAAAAUUUCCAGGGGAAAAUUCUGUCUUUUUCAAAAGUGUGUUCGAUGUUCCUACUUAUCCAACUAUCUAGGAGAAGGCACCUCCUAAAACCUAGCAGAAGAAUCCAACACCUCCACAAAGGGCUUCAUUCGACCCCCAGGAUCUCUGCUGCACAGGUUUUUGUAAAUGUGGUGGGACAGACUACAUCCAUGGAGUUCCUUCUGGUAACUUCAUGACCUAUCUGCUGCCUGAAGACACACUGAGUAACAAAUUUCCCAGGACACUCACCGCUGUCCACCUCUUCACACCCUGAGACUUAAGUAUUUUCAUUGUUUGACGAUUAGGUAUGUUUGGAGAAGCACAGCAUUUAAAGUCGCUUACUUCCCUGCCUGACUACACACGCCAAAUUACGUGUGGGGGAUUGUUGGUGUUUUCUCUCUUCCCUCCUCAAACAAGUCACAUUUGAAGUAAACGAGGGCAGGUCUUGCCUGCCCUUUCCUUUCUCAACAAUACCCUGUAAUUUGUCACUAGUAAUGAAAACACUUAAUGUCUCUACCAUUCAGACACCAUUGCAUGGAAUUGGUUAUGCCUCAUUGGAUUUUGGCAUUUGGAGUAGAUGGUUAACAAAGUUACACUUCAUAAGAUCUCUUAUAACUCAAGGUGGUUGAGCAAAUGUAAUAUAUGGUUCAUAUACAUUCUAUUUCUCUAACCCAUAUGAUGACCAUGGGGUUGAAAAUGCAACCCUAUCAGGAUAAUGUAAGGCUUGUAAGAAUGCCCUCCAGAUACGAAGUCAAACAUUCCUGCUUAUGGAUGUUGGAGAGCCAAUGAGCAGAAGGACUCUUCUAUUGGCACUUGGGGCUUGGAGCAGACACAUGCAGUUAAUUCAUCAUCUUGUUUCCAAUGGGUCUUAACCCUCUAUAAGCCUGAAGCUUGUCUCACAGUUGGGAACAAUGAAUAAAUUGUUUUAAAUAUUCAUAAAAUUAACUUUGCGCUCCUUUUUCAAAACCCAGUGUAAGUAUGUGAGCUUUUAAAACACCGGGGGAUGGGGCGCCUGGGUGGCACAGCGGUUAAGCGUCUGCCUUCGGCUCAGGGCGUGAUCCCAGCGUUCUGGGAUCGAGCCCCACAUCAGGCUCCUCCGCUAUGAGCCUGCUUCUUCCUCUCCCACUCCCCCUGCUUGUGUUCCCUCUCUCGCUGGCUGUCUCUAUCUCUGUCAAAUAAAUAAAUAAAAUCUUUUAAAUAAAUAAAUAAAUAAAUAAAUAAAUAAAUAAAUAAAUAAAACACCGGGGGAAAUGUAGUGGUACUUCUGGAAAGAAAGCGUUCAUAAGAAAAUUAUUUGCAUUUUUAAUGAUAUUUUUUGAAAUAUUUUUAUUUCCAACCUGACUGCUAUUAGGUUUAUUUUACAGUCAUUGUGGUUUGUGGCAUAUUUAUUCAUUCCUAGUUAAAGCCUCCAAUUUUACUCUUGUUUGUUAUAUAAUCCCUUUGCUUAUAUAGACCCAGCUCACAUUGGCCUUUCUGAUUGACUCUCAUCUUGAUUAAGGAAGAUCUGGGUUUCAUUUACCAAUUUCAGAAAUGGCUGGUCUUGUUACACUGAUCGCCAGAAUCUUUCUUACAAUUCAUCAGCCUGCUUCAUAAGCAAUAUAACUGGUAGUCUAGAAAUAAAUGGCUUUAAAUGUGUGUAUAU